rnacentral:rRNA from 1 species
UACGAAGGGUGCAAGCGUUACUCGGAAUUACUGGGCGUAAAGCGUGCGUAGGUGGUUUGUUAAGUCUGAUGUGAAAGCCCUGGGCUCAACCUGGGAAUUGCAUUGGAUACUGGCAGGCUAGAGUGUGAUAGAGGAUGGUGGAAUUCCCGGUGUAGCGGUGAAAUGCGUAGAGAUCGGGAGGAACAUCAGUGGCGAAGGCGGCCAUCUGGAUCAACACUGACGCUGAGGCACGAAAGCGUGGGGAGCAAACAGG